rnacentral:misc_RNA from 1 species
GGUUUACCUAGCAAAGGUUAGAUUUAUGUGUGUUUUUUUAUAACCUUUUCUCCUCUUGUGUUCCCGGAGAAUUUAUUGUUGAGUAGUUUGAGAUUUUCCUCCCACUUGAAUAAUUUUAGAUAGGCUUUGACUCGAUGUAUGUAUUUCUUUAAUUGAGAAUUGGUGCGGACUAAUAAAGGUGUAUUUUAGAGAACAAAGCUUC